GCUCCCUUGGCCUAGUGGUUUAGGGCGUCUCGCUUACACCGAGAAGAUCGCCAGUUCGAUCCUGGCAGGGAGCA